GCCUCGCUAGCUCAGUUGGUAGAGCAACUCCCUCUUAAGGAGAUGGUCGCAGGUUCGAAUCCCGCGCGAGGCA
rfam:Candidatus Taylorbacteria bacterium RIFCSPLOWO2_01_FTLL_45_15b rifcsplowo2_01_scaffold_5963, whole genome shotgun sequence.